rnacentral:rRNA from 1 species
UACGGAGGGUGCGAGCGUUGUCCGGAAUCACUGGGCGUAAAGGGCGCGUAGGCGGCGCGAGCAGUCGGCGGUGAAAGCCCGGAGCUCAACUCCGGGUCGGCCGUCGAUACUCUCGUGCUUGAGCACUGUAGAGGCAGGUGGAAUUCCGGGUGUAGCGGUGGAAUGCGUAGAGAUCCGGAAGAACACCGGUGGCGAAGGCGGCCUGCUGGGCAGUAGCUGACGCUGAGGCGCGACAGCGUGGGGAGCAAACAGGAUUAGAAACCCCCGUAGUCC